rfam:Schistosoma rodhaini strain Burundi genome assembly, scaffold: SROB_scaffold0000610
GCACUGCUGAGGAACCCCACAAUAGGACGAAACGGCCGUCCAGUGC